GCGACCGUGUUCGCCAUUUUGCUUUGCCGCGGAGUUCGGUCUCUGUGAGGGAACGCGUGUAAUUUUGCGGUACUUGUGGCGUCUUAAUCGUAGUGUCUGCUUCGACAAGUUACCAUGAAAGAACAGUCUAAUAAUAAUCAGGCUGCGCUUUCAAUAAGCUGACGUACUUACCUGACGGCGCCUUGCGUAGAAGCACUUCUCGUCUCGUAUCCUUGCUUGUCAAAAACUUGAUGCGCGGAGUAGGGAAGAAAUUCUUGGAUAUUUGUGCUAUAGGACAGAAACGAAGUUUCACGUGCGGUGGGCUUGAAAUUACAUAAACAACACGCGUUGUCCUGCCUAAAGAGCAUCCGUUCGGUGUGUGAUCACGCAUUAGCUGGGUCCGACACUACCUUCGAUAGUUUAGGACGCUCGAACUGCUAGCACCCACCGCAUGCGAACACAGCAUGCCGUGCCGUGAAUAUACGUGUAUUUUCAUUACUGCGUUUGUGAAAGUGCAGACGCUUAUUAGUCAUCAUCAUUUAGCUGGCAUAGGCAAUAUGUCGUCAUUUCAGUCGCAACACAGAUAGUUGCCUCGUACAUUUGCGCCCCGUUUGUUGACUUGUCUGUGUUGACCGUCUUGCUCAUGCUGACUUGUACACACUGUGGCCUUCAUUCAGGGGCCCCGUGCAAAACCUGGUAUCGCAUAUUUGUGCCUGGUGUUUAUAAAGACGUAGCGAAGUUGUGUGCAUCAACAGCACGUGCACACAACAAAAGCUUAUGGUGCGCAGCUGCUGGUUGUACUUCUGUAAACAAGAUGCAAAGAACAGGUGUGCAAGACUGUCUUAUGCAACUAGCUGUCACAGUCCUUAAAGCAGCUACACCUGCUUCGAUGACGAAAGUGGAAUCUGCUGUUUAAUUAUUUUGCUGGCUUUUUCUACUUGAAUCUUUUCCCAUAUGCAUCUUAAGUACAGCGUGAAAGAAUGAGACAUUAAAAAAAGUGGCACAAGGUGCUGCGUACUGCCAUCAGCGAAGCUAAAUUUGCAGGAUUAGUAAAAUUCAAGUUAUAAGAAAAUUCAUGGAGAUAGCACGCAUAGUGGCAAUAUGAAAGUGAAGCUACCGUGAGCUGGCAAGACAAAACAAUGCAAUACGAUGAUAGAUGCAGAGUGGUAUUUUCAUUGUCUUGCGCACCUAAUUUCAGCAACGAGUGCAUCCUACAACUGUCUUUGGUCAUGGCAGCAGACCUUGCAGAUUGUUGCGGAGAAACGCAACACAGUUGCCACCACUGACCACAGCAUCUAAACCUUCAAACUCUGCAUGAAAGCUUCACUUAACACGGGCUCCGAGUAGCGUGUCAGCUUUCUCCUGCUGAAUAUUGUCCAGCAAAUAUGGUUGUGAUUUAAUAAUGGCACAGCUGCAUGUGCUUCUUUUUCAGGCAUAAAAUUUCUAUCUAAUUUGUCAGCCAUAGCACAGUGCUGAUUAGCUAAUGGCAAGACAAUUCCCCCCCCCCCCCCCCCCCCUUGUUCUACAUAUGCUUUCUUGAACUUUGAAAUACUUUGCCAUAGCCACUAUGUUUGGGACAUUCACGUGGUAGUUCAUUAAUAUGCGGUCACUGGUUAUAUUUGCUUAAUGAUGACACUACCUUAACUCCAUUAUUCAUGUACACUUGUCGACUGUUGCAUUAUCCCUUUAGAACAGAAGCAGCAGCCAUAACUAGUUAUACUACCUAGAAAUAUCUAAUCUGAUGUAGGAAACCUAGGUCAAGAUUUACAGAGAGUUUUAGCACAUCACUACGUAUACUACCUGCACCCAAAUUUGCAUGCACAGUUGGGAGUGGAGUUGGUAGGGGUAAUAGUAAAGCAAGACAUUGAUUUGCAAGGCAAGUUGAGUCAUAGUUAACUGCGGAGAACGCAGUGCCGAAAGACACAGACUGGACGAGCGCUGGCUGACAACUUAAAUUUUAUUGCAGCCAACCACUUUUUUAUGCAUGCGCAGAGCCAUAUAACAUUUCCACACCUAUCUGGCAUGCCAGAUCACCUGGAAAUGUUAUAUACCUUAUUGGCGCAACCAUUUGACGCAGUCUUUAACAUCACUUGUGUGCGCACUAGAACUGAAACUUGUCAAAAGCAACAACAAAAAGGACGCCAUCGUAUUCAUUCGUUAGAAAGGACACCAGUAUCAAGGUAACACCUCAUAUUUUCAGUUGUAAGUCAGUGCUCGUCCAUUGUACUGUGUCUUCUUUGUCCGUGUAUUUUUGCGCUGCUUUCUCUCCAGUAAUGCUACAACAGUAAUACUGAUAUGUUAAAUUACCCUUAUGUAAAUAAUCACUAAAAAAAUUCCAGAAAGUUUUACACAGUAAGAGGAGAAAAGUGCUUGAAAAGACGUGGCUGAAAAAAGCCAGGAAGCCUUUGUAAGAAUGAAAUGGCCACAGAAGAGACAGGCUGAAACUUUUGUUGUUGGAUAAAAGCAGGAAAGAGUAUGGCAAAUGUUCUUAGAAUGAAAGCCAAUAGUGCUGAAUCCUGGUAUUCUGUAUUGCUGCUCAACUGCAUCACGGAAAUGCUGCUAUUGCAGGUCCUGGACACUGGACAUGCAAGUGCCCUCUCAAGGAAACGCUUGGUCUGGAUCUGGAAUUUUGUGAUUUGUGACAACACGUGGUCUGACACGAGCCAUAACAGAGUGGGAUUCACAGCUGCUCUAUGUAAUGGGACAGGACGAAAACAAAGAAAUUAGGGAGCUGAAGGGACCUGCUUCAUCUUCACAAGUCAAGUUUUUAUUGAAAGCCAAGCACUUCGCAGUUCUUGCAUAGUAAUAUGUUUGUGCAGUAUGUUAUAUACCUUUAUGCCAUUGCCUCUUUUCUGUCGCACGUUCCUGCUUUGAUCGUAGUCACUUCGUUUUUUAUACUAGUAUUGCUCUUGGCAAUUUCUCAUUGUACUUCAGGUGUUUGGUUUUCAAUUAAAGGUUCACUUGUGGGAACAGUGCAUGUCAUGACUUGAGCAGAAACAGCGCAAAAGAAUAAGCCAUAAAUAAGACAAACAACAGUGCUGUUGAGUUUCUUAUGUCUUGUUUCUUUUUUUUUUUUUUGUAUUUUCUGCUCAAGUCAUGAACCAACCAGCCCAGGUGAAUAUGCUUCUGCAAUGCAUGGUCAUGUCACUUUCCUCCUUCAUUAUCCUUGUCUUAAUUUGUUGCUUUACUUGAAGCAGCUAUGAAUCUACUCCAGCUUGUUCACCUGUCCGUCCUGUUGCAGAUUGCAUUUGCUGCCUGCGUAUCUGAUGUUAUCAUUUGCGGAGCAUUUCUAAACUGAUUGGGACUUGCAGUGCAUAUACUGUUUCUUGACGUCAUCACCGUAUUGACUAGGCUGUCCUGUACUGCAGUUUCUCAUGACACUACUGGCAAUCAGAUACCAUAGCUGUCACAAGUUUUUCUGCUCUUGAGGCCCCAUCAUGCAGACUGAAAGUCUGCAAACAGCAGUGUUCCGAGUGCUUUCGCCAUGCCAAAGUGACAACAAUGGUCAGGACACAUAAUGAGAACAUGGACCUUAACAACUGUCCAAACGAAACAGAGGUUCACAAAAACAUGGAUGUGAAAAAUGACAACAAUGGUUGAACAAGUGACAUCUCAGUGAUGACAUUUGUUUGUCAAGGCGAGAAGUAGUUGUUGCCCUGAUGAAGCAAUGUCCCCUUGUUGAAGCUUGGCUGCAGGCUGACUUGUUUGCUCACGGUUGAUUAACAAUUGUCGUUAAUUAUGCCUGGCAGGGCUGCCAGAAGUGCAUUGUCUGUUCUGUGGGCAGCAUUGUACAGCUUUAUUGCUCAGUGUGGCAGGGCCCUAAUGAUGCUGAAAACAACAACAAAAAAAAGGCACCUGUAUGUAAGUGUGUUUUCUCCUCCACCCCGACCCUCAUUUUGUUGACUUGCCACUCCAUCUUCCUCAUUUGUAAUCUUGCUUGUCUCGUCUCUGUUCAUGCGCAUGUGACAUUUCAGUGCUGAAAUGUGGUCUAGAUUAUAUAUGCCUGUCGUGUGCAUAUUGCUUGGGAACUGCGCAUAUUUAGCAGUAGAAAGAGUGAUCUGUAAGGUGGUGUCACCCCUGUACAUACCAACCCUGUCCCCCCAUACCCUUUCUCUUACAUUCUUUCAUGUUUAACCAUGCAUUAAUCUCUCCUCUGAGAGCUCGAGAUAACAUGAUGCUGAGAAUUCGAAGUUGAAGUUUCAUUUCACUCAUACACAACACAUAAAUACACAAAUCUAGUACACAGACAAGAGUCCCAAAGUAUUAAUACUGAAAAUGGGACCCCCAGUUAGAAACUGCGGCAGAAUUGCAUAAUAGGAAGGACACUUGCACUUUGUCGCCCACAUGCUGCAUACCGGUCAAGCUUAGAGCAGAGCAGUAAUUAUUGCGCAACAUUUUUAUCACUUGUUUAAAUAAACAGCGUGGAUUAUUUGGAAGGAGUACUGAGGAAAAAUUUUUGUCUAAUUUUUUCUUGCUUUAUCGGAUAGCCGUCGACCCAGUAAUUAUGCUAUGGAGCCUCCAUUCCCCAAGAUCGCAACAAAUAAUUGAUUGCGUUACUUUUUAAUUAAAAACGUCCUGAAACACUUUCGUUCUUGUACUGCCGGUCUACCCACGACACUCGUGCGUGGCUGCGUCUGCUGCAUGUGGCCUUCAAGAUAGACACGUAACCGCAGAACAAAAAAAAACUAACGGCACAUGGAUGCACAGACAGGAAAAGAAUAGAUUUGCACCCAAGUUUAUUCAACACUUUACGACACAAUGCAUGCUGACGUGAACACUGUAAUGCCCUAAGGUGAACAGAAGGUGAGGAAUACAUAAAUAAAUGCCAAACUUUUCGCUAUCCCACAAACAAUCCAGAUCUGAAACUAACUAUGAUAUCAGUGUGUCAGUCAUGGAGGCACCGCCUCUCUUCUUGAUAUCACAAGCUUUGUUGCUGCUUUUAACUAUUACUCAUGCUCUCAUCUCUCUAAGCAUUACUGUGCACUCACCUCAUCUGCACGUUGCGUUCUUCCAUGUGUGUUGUGUUAGUCUUGUCAGAAGUUUAGCCUCAACAGCAGUGACUCUUAACAAAAUGCAGUGGGAUCAGAGACGACAAAACAGUUUUGUUCAGCAGAGGUGUCCCGAAUCACCAACAAACUAUGGGUCUCUUCGAUUCGUCAUCCUGGACUGUCCACGACUGACCAAGAUGCUGCCUAAGGCAACACCCAUUGACUGAAAGCAGAGCCUUUAGUACAUCUGGGGCAGUCUGGGACGACAAAUUCGAUAGGCCCCAUGCAAGUCUUUGAAUGGUUCAGACAGUUCAUCUUCACAGAGUUUGUCUUAAAUAGAAUCUACUGCAUUGCUCUCCCGGUCAGUUUGUUUGCUGUAGCCACUCUCCUGUCUGCAAAGUGGCAUUGUAGAAGACCAUUUGCAUGACUUGCAGGGGCCGAUCAGCACUGGCAGCAGCAGCAGCAAAGUCAGCAGCAGCAGCCUGGUAGGAAGCGGAUAGAAGUUACGGGACUUUUAUGCAGCUUCUGCCCCCAGAUGUUCGCCUUUCGCAGCUUGCUCCUGAGACACGAGCGAAAGCACACUGGGGAGAAGCCAUUCGGGUGCAACAUCUGCGGCAGGAUGUUCAGGCAGAAGCAUCACUUGGUUGCCCACAUGUCCACCCACCGGAUCCCGGCUAAUUCUUAAACCGGCCCGGCGCCAGCACUCACUCGUAGGCUGCUGUCCGGCACAGGAACGGUUGACAGUCCACCACGGCUGCCAGUCACUUUCAUGAAACGCUGGUUGGAUGCUUGGUCGAGGAACCCCGUAAUGUGCAGUUGGCCAGAAAAGCCUACGGGACACGGGUUCCACAGCAAAUGUGAACACGUGUUCUGUUAAGGCAUGGCCUUCUAAUUUAAUGACUCACUGUGUCACAGACCACUACAUGCUGAAACUUCAAAUUUGAGGUUGUGUGCCCAGACUAUCCUACAAACCGAUCUAUCCUACAAUAGAUAUCACCGUUCUGUCGCAUCAGCUGGAUUACUUGAAGCGUCAAACAUUACUUCCAAGACAAAUAGCAGUGCAAUGUUUUCUAUUUGUCCAAAAUUUGCUAAUUAACUUUGUAAUUAAUUGCAUGUCUCCAAUCAUAGAAUUGAAGUCAAACAGUAAAAUGUCCAUUUAGCAAAAAUCCUGUGCUUAACACCAAUUUUGAGGAAUACAUCUUCAAAAUCUGGUGAAAUGCAUAGAUAUUUCGUUUAACGCUUAUCAAAAGGUUGUGGGUUUCGUUCCUAAUUGCCACGGUCAUAUUCCGUUAGAGGAACGGAAGAAAGCUCAUCUAUUGGGAUUAGGUGCAUGUUAAAGCACCCCCCGGGUUGUUGCAAUUAACCCAGAACUUUUCACUAUGCAGUUCCUCAGCCUGCAUGAUGCUUGGACGUUGAAUCCCAUGAUUUGGUCAAAUUAAAAAAAAAUUUUUUUUUAUGUGCUGACUGAUACAUUAGUGCAUUUCACUGCAGGUGUUGAGGACAUAUUUCUCAAUGCUGAGCACAGUAUUUUGCCUGAAUGGAUUUACCUCAUUACUGCUUGGUUUCGAUUCUGCCAUUAGAACAGUUGCUUUAAAGUGAAUAAUUACAAAGUUAAGUUGUAAUACUUCUUUAUAGUAUAGCCAAUGUCUCUCUGCACUAACUCUUGCAGGUAGUGUCUGCCUCUUCUGUAGUAACUCGGCUCAUUGCGAUAACUACCACAGGAGAUUGUAAAUAAGUCUGUUUCCAUUAAUAUAGAUGACUCAGUCAACUUGUUUCACUGCUGUGUUCACAACAUUACAGGAAUUACUAAUAUAUAUCUAUGUAUAGGUUUUAUAAGCCACACCCUCCAUCUUAUAAAUGUAAGAACUCUCCAUUUUUCAGUGAGGGCUGUAGCCACAGUCAUAAGUUGAUGCAUUUCCCACUACACUGUUAUCCUUUUGAUCAGUAAGAGUCUAAGUGUUUUUUCUUUUUUUUUUUGUAUGUCUGUGUUGUGUGCGUUUGUGAAGACAUGCAGUGUAACUUUUGGCACAAAAUCUUUGAGCUGAAAAGAACCUUGCAUUUUUUUUUUUUUGGUUUAACAACUGCACCUUGACAUUCUGCACAAGACAUUAAAAUUAAAAUGUGGUUAUAAUGCAAGUCUACAUUUCCAUGCAUGCAUUAUAUUGUACUUUCUGUGAAUGACCUCUCUUACUGUAUCGACACUUAUCAUCUGUGUGAUGCAAGACAUGCUUGCUGAAAUCGUAAAAAUUACAAACAGUGUCAUUGCUUUGAUGGCAAUAUCGGAUUCUGUGCACAUUAUGAACACUUUAGUACAUUCUUGGACCGACUCAGGCAUUGCUGAUUGCUCUAGAAUGUCAAGUAUAAAUAACAGCCAGGUUGUGUCAACGACCACAUUUACUGUAUCAACACUUAUCGUCACUGAGAUGCAAGACAUGCUUGCUGUAUCGUAAACAUUACAAACGUUGCUGCUUUGAUGGCAAUAUUGGAUUCCGUGCACAUUAUGAACACUUUAGUGCAUCCUCGGACCAACUCAAGCACACCUGAGUGCUCUGGAAUAUCAGGUAUAAAUAACAGCCAGACUUCAGGAAUACGAUUUCAUUUGAGAACCGCCUACUAUAAUUUCCAGCACUACUGUUACUUAACCCCUAAUCUGCCAUGUGAAUUUUUUUUUUUUAAUAUUUAAAACUGCAGAAUUUUUUUGAGACCUGCGUAAUUUUCUGGCAAUGUUUUGUAAAGAAUAUGAUACCAGAAAUGCCUACUGCAUUUUUACUUGCCUUGUUAAAAAAAAAUAGCAAAAGUCAUUGCAUGUUAUGUAAUUGCCAAAAUUACAAGAAACAGCACAUAUACAAAUGUGCAAAAAUUGCGGGAAGUUCACUACGACUUGUCAUCAGCACCAGAUGACGCUCGUAAUGACGAGUUACGUCGUCAUCAGCAGCUGAGGGAUUAAAGGCCUCCUAAACCGCCCCGAGUUCGAAAAUUAGUAAAUAGUGUCUGAUGUGUACUAGUACAAUGAACGUAUAGGUGAAUUUUUUUUUAGAUUGGUGCCGUAAUAGGAAAGUUAUAGUGAUGAACGACUAUGCAACUGCCGCGGUUGCUCUCUUGCCCUCGCCACCUUUCUCACUGGCGCUCUAUCUCCUCACCGCAUACUUUCGCCAACUCCAUGCAGUACAGCAAAAACUACGUGUCGCAUCAACACACCAGAAGAAUUGUCUGCCGCUAAUCGCUCUCCGCGCAACGUCAGCUGAAUGGAAGCUUUAUAAAACGAUGGUGUAAAAAAAAAAAUGUCAAAGGUGAUUUAGCAGCCCUUUAAGUAUUGGUUUGCUUUCUUAGCGUAAGUUUGUCGAGUAGGGCGUUCAGUCCCGUUGGUUACUGUUUUUGUCAGUCACCGCCGCGAUUCCUCUGUUGCGAGCUUUAGGUCACGGGUUUCAUUACUGGCCAUGGCAUUCACAUUUUCUUGGGAACGAAAUGCAAGAACACUCGUGUGCUUAGAUUUAGGUGCAUGUUAAGGAUCUUUUGUUGCUUUAACACGUUAAACCGAACAACUUGAUUUGAUUAGUGAGAACUUCCACAGGUAUUAUCCAGUACCUAUAACAUGUUGAAGCCCUAGCAUUUCCACAUUUAUUAGCGACUUCACUUUGCUGCAGUUGCAAUAGCAGUUAUGCAUUCUCUCUUUCGUUGUCCUCUGCAAUUCGUUGUGCUGUGCUUCUGUCAAAAUCACUCUUAAUGCUUUGCAUGUGUGCAUGGUAAGUUAAUUUUGGUAUGUGCAGAAUCAGCCAUGAAAAGAAUGCCAAUACUUUGAGCAUUACAAUAUUACCUGUUUUUGUGUUCAAUGUGUUCAUUCUCUCAUGUGGCUGCUGCAAAGAUUGGCAUUCUGUUUUUAUGCUAAGUUGAAGUGAUUUGAACUUUGCUGGUAAUUUUUUGUUCGUAGUUUUAACGUUUGGUCUGCAUAAGCAUUGUGAUGACUGCUUCGAACUGGGCAAAUGAAGUGGGUCUGUGCGAGAGUGUACAUGGGUGUACCGGCGUCUGUGCAAGAGUGGUUCACACAAAUUAAUUACAUUUUGAUACAUAUUGGAUACAUACAUAUUGGAUACAUAUUGAUACAUACAAUACGCAUAUUGCAGAUGCAGAAGUGUAGCUGUAGUGUCUGUUAAGCCAGGUGUCCUUGUGUUUAAUAGAUGGCAUUUACUGCGCAUGUGUUUGUGUCUUGAUGCCAAGUUUUGAGUGUUUUAUCGCCGAGAGGCUUCUGGAUGCAAAGCUCUGUGUGUUCAUAUUUAUUAAAUACCACACUACACAAGACUCGCGUUCAGCUGUUGAGGUUAACAGGCAUUGUGUAGCCAUUUGGGCCUUUGUGUGAUAUGUGUCAUCGAAAUAAACGCAAGGAGCCCAAUUCAAACAGGUGUUCGUCAUGGUGGCUCAGAGGCUGUUGCAAUCUGCAGCUGAGUGCAAGGUUGCGAGUUCUAUUCCCUUCCGAGGCAGCCACAUUCCAAUGAGCUGUGAUCAUGAAAGUGCAGAGUGACAUCUGCGUUGCUAUGGCACCAAGUGACAACACUGAUUCGCAGGACAAUGCUCGAGGCAUGUCGGAAUCAGUAUGAAUUCCUGUGUCAUUUCUUAUCACCAGGCUGUGCAGGCUGUUAGACGCUAAAGAAAAAGGUAAUUUGGAGCUGUAUUUGUAAAUUACCCAUCUCAUAUGCAAAAGAGAAAGAAACCGCUUAUCAUGAGAAGGAGUAUUGGAGUAUUGGUAAAUCAGAAAAGAUGCUGUCGCAACCACCCUGAAGUUUCCAUAUUAACUCGCUGUAAUGUCAUGGAUUUUGAUGACAUCUGCUCGGGCCUAGUUAAAUUUUUAUCCGAGUUGUGAAAUGAUACUGUAUCAGUCUGAACUAGCUUGGCGUUUUUCUUUAAUGCCCCUUUAACAAACAUACUUGUUCGCUGCUGUUGACAACUCUGCACUGUGUACACUGCUUUUGUCUGUUCAAGGCUGUUGGCUACUGUGUGAGGGGACAAUUGUUUUCCAUACUUGGCUGUAAAGUCAAAAUUGCACAUACAGUUUUCAAAAGUGUCGAGUGACUCAUUGAUAGUUUUUAAUUGACGCUCUGUUAGUUUCCUUAGGUUUCCUAUUUUGCACUGCUUGUGUUUCUCAUAUGUGUUCUCUGACAUUUUUUGUUCACACUUUGUCCUCAGUAUUUGUAUCUUUGGUUAUUCCUUAUUUUUGUUUGCUUACGUGUUUGCUUAAGUAGGAUAUGUUUAGGUGCUGUGAUUGACUUGUCUUCCCAGUAGUUAUCCUGUCGUGAAAAUUCCCGCGCCGCAGCGCUUGCAACCAAAUCUGGCGUAAAACUGUGCGGUGGCACUGCGGCCGCAAGCACUGUGCUGACUUAACUGAAACCUAGACUUCUACAGGACUUCGCACACAAGGAGUAGACCAGCACCAGUUAUUGCACUCGUGUCCCAUGGAGAGACGAAUGGCUCUCCUAGGGGAAUUGCUGGACUGUCCGUGCACAGAUUGCAUGUUCUUGUGGUGCAUUUUAUUUACUACUGUGUUUGAGUGUUGUAUUUUGCACAUUUUCUUCAGAAUGAAUAAGAAGUAUGCAGUGCCUGCGGGGAUGCCAGACUGAAUGAUUAGCUUUUUCUUAGCGAAUACGAUGGUUUCCUUUUGUCAUCUGUGCCACAGCUGUUUCGUCACCUUUGCAUGACAGAUGGCGACAACAUUAUGUGCUAUUUCUUGGAAGCCAUCAUUGCAACAGACAAGGCAUGCUUCUGGUAAAUUCUGGGUGAAACAGACAAUUAUUGUGCCCAAGCAGAGUAUAAAGCAAACUCUCUGUAAAGGCAUGAGGUAGACAAGCAGCAUUAAAAAUAGGAUAUGAAAGAGUGACUUUUGGAAUGGGACUACCGCGUUGUGUCCUAUCUGCUGCAUGCUUCGUCAUUUAUUCUUUGUUUUGUUUUGUUUUGUUUCUUGCAUUAGGGUGAAUUUGCACCAACUAGCUAAAAAUCAAUUUGCAAAUGCUAUUUCAAAAUUGGAACUUGAACAAGUGAGUGCUUUGCCAGGAUGGCCUGCGUAUCCUACUCAUAGGGUGGCAGAAUGAUUGGCACUUUAAAUUGACAUGCAGUCUCUUGCUCUCCGUUUUACCGGCAGAUCUGGCCGAGACACCCGCUGCCUUGGAGCCUCGGGGGCAGGUGGACACCACUUCCUCCUCUUGUGCUCAGGCCACCAACAACAGCAGCGAUAGCAACUCUGUCGAUGGGACUCCUGUGGCAGUGAGCGAUGAAAGCACCUUUGCUUUUGUCUCAGGCGAUACUGGCAUUUCACUGCUGGCGAUCAAGCAAGAACCGUUGGAGGAACACGAGAAUUCACAGUUUGGAGACCCAGAGGAAGAGCAGCUGCCCUGCGGUACCACGUCACAACAAGCCGAGGAGGACAAUGUCGAGUUGGACGACCACUUGACCAAUUGUUUUGUUUGCGGCGAGCCUUUCGGAGCAAAUCAUCUGUUGAGGCGCGCUGCCUAUCACGCGGAGCAUCGACUUUGCUAUACGUGCCACCUGUGUCCGUUGAGGUUUGGCAAGCUGUGCCUGCUUACACGGCAUCUGAAACAACACAGCACCAGCCACUAGUACCAGCAGUUGCAUGUUUUUAAGCUGGGGGCUCUCGAGCUCCAUUGGCUUGCAGAACUGCGCACAUUCCCUGAGCAUUGAGAAACGCCAUGAAUACAGUAUUGGGUGUCCUUUUCUCAUUAUUCUCACCCAUUGAUCGAAUUAAUGUUCACACUUACCUAAUUGAUUAGUUAUGGAAUGCUCUUUGCAUAUUUGACUUGUUAUGUAAUGCUCUUUGCAUAGAACUUUGUAACGGUCUUGCUAAAGAAAAUCUGGUGAUAACGUCUGCAUACGUUGUCAGUAUGCUGGUUAAACCUGCCUGGAAAUCGCUGGGGAGCAAUAGGUACAUGGAUUUCUUUAAAACUUGUUCUCCUGUCUUUGAACAUCGCUGCAGCUUGUUUCGUGAACCUCGUUUAAGCUAACUUGUCGUUGCGAAUUUAUGCUAUUGUGUCGAUUAACAUCGUUUGACUUCCUAAUUGCAACUGUUCGAUGAUUCUGAGAGCACUGGGAAAAAAAAAAGAUUUUUUUGGACAUCGUAAAUCAUUUUGUGUGAAGAUUGUUGCUGCCUAUAUGCUAUCCAGAUUUAGUGUCGUACAUUCGAUAAAAUGUUGUAUUUAUUAAUUUGCCAGAGAAUAAACAAAAGUUGAAAUUCACUGCAGUACAUUGACUUUGUCUCUUUAGAUUUAUUAUUAAGUACAGUUUACAGAAACGUGACGCUGUUCUUCAUUGCUGAGUUGCAUAGUUGUAAAUUUUGGUUCAGUUUCCUGAAGUUUAGUAAUUUUUAAAAAAUUUUCAAUUAGAAUUCACAGCCUAAAUGAGAAAUAUGCUUCCCACAGUCACUAGGUUUUAACUUUUUCUUUUAAGUGUUACAUACCUCGGCAUAAUCAGUGCAGUAGUCGCUGAGGAAAACGAUUUCUCCUUUCCUGCGUGUUUAAAUAGAAGCUCCCGAGCUAAAGCUUCCUCUUAAGGUAUGAUCCAGUCAUUCUUGUCGUGGUCCGUGCAUACAGCUGCCCGCCGCAUGCGUACAGUAAAACCUUGCUAAUGCGUACCCGCUCAAGUAUUUCAGGUUUAAAUAUAGUUGCCAUGAAUCCCCUGCCCUGUCAUUAUUGAUUCUAAUGUACUAUUGGCUGACCGCUUAAACCGUAGUCGCUUAACGCAUGCCAAAUGGUUAGAGCGUAGUAUUUACUUCAUUUUUGGCACGUGCAUGCGUGGAAUCGGCUGAAUGUCAUGCUUGUAGACCAUAGAUAGCGAAAUUGCGGCACAUGGACCUUUCCCAGACUGCAAUCUCCACUGACAGUGAUGUCAAAACAUGGUAGCCAUGACGUGUUUCUGGCUCCCAUAGCUUCCAGCGCUUUUACAUCAUCUUCAUGGAUGAUGACGCGGAUGAUGGCACUUCCGUAUCCGACGUGGCUAGUACGUUGACCGUCACGAAGGCAUUCGCAGAGGAGUGGGGCCUAACGGAGAAACUGGCUCGCGGCCUUGCUGAGUUUGAGGAUGCCAUAGUCGCUGCAAGGCCGCUACGGCGGCAAGUGAAAAUCACAGAUUUUUUUGCUGCCUGCUCGCAAAUAAAACUUGUCUGCAUGUUUAUUUGAGUGAGAAUUGUCAUGCUUUUGUGGCCAUUAAGUCUGUAGCAGCUCAUCUGCCAUUAUCGGCUAAAUGGUACGUCGCUUAGUGCGUACCUGAUCCACAUUCCCCACUAACUAUGUAAUAACGAGGUUUUACUGUAAUGUAGUAGUAAUCGUGGGAUUGUGGUGCAGUAUAAGUAGUGGGAUUCACAACAUACUGCCCCUACAAUGCUAGAUUCAAUUACAGCAUGUUUUGUCAGAAAAGCUGCCACAAACGCAAUAAUCUCCUACGUUCUUCAAUAUUGCCACUAAUUCAUAAACAUACAUUUUUUAACUGAUCUGACCGGCCAUGGCCUUUUGUUGUAGCUUCAUCUUUGUGAUAUUUGCAUUUAUAUGUAUGAUGGUUUGAAGUGUAUUGUUAUGUUACAGAUGCUCAUAUUGUGUCCUGUUGAGCAUAUUGUUUAUAUAUUGCUGUUUUAAUGUGCUUUCAUUUAUAACUGUUUUUAUUUGUGUUGAUGUUAUUGAAAUUGCAGCUUAUGCAAACUGCUUACCUGCAUCAGUCAUGUUGUGAAACCCUGCUAGCAAAAUCAGGAAAAAAAGUAUGUUCUGAAAGCAUAAGCUGAAACAAACUAUACUUGGGAGGUUGAAUAGCGGGUAAACUGAUGCUGUUGCUUUAAAAAAGCACCAACAUGACAUUUCUUAUUUUUUAUUUUUGCCAUAAAUAAAGGUCCUUGUUCUCGAAA